UUUGGGCGGAAGACAGGUCAGGCCCCUGGAUUCUCUUACACAGAUGCCAACAAGAACAAAGGCAUUACCUGGGGAGAAGAUACACUGAUGGAGUAUUUGGAGAAUCCCAAGAAGUACAUCCCUGGAACAAAAAUGAUCUUUGCUGGCAUUAAAAAGAAGUCAGAAAGAGCGGAGU